rnacentral:rRNA from 1 species
GAGGAAUAUUGGACAAUGGAUGGAAAUCUGAUCCAGCCAUGCCGCGUGCAGGAAGACGGCCCUAUGGGUUGUAAACUGCUUUUGUAUGGGAGCAAUAAGGACUACGUGUAGUUUGAUGAGAGUACCAUACGAAUAAGCAUCGGCUAACUCCGUGCCAGCAGCCGCGGUAAUACGGAGGAUGCGAGCGUUAUCCGGAUUUAUUGGGUUUAAAGGGUGCGUAGGCGGCGAUAUAAGUCAGUGGUGAAAUAUUUCGGCUUAACCGAGAGACUGCCAUUGAUACUGUGUUGCUAGAAUAUGGUUGCUGUGAGUGGAAUGUGUGGUGUAGCGGUGAAAUGCUUAGAUAUCACACAGAAUAUCGAUUGCGAAGGCAGCUCACAAGGCCAUUAUUGACGCUGAGGCACGAAAGUGUGGGGAUCAAACA